CAGGACAUGCGGUCGCGGCUGACGGGCCGAAAGGUGUCAGUCGAGGAAAGUCCGGGCUUCACAGGGCAGGAUGCCGGAUAACGUCCGGCGGGAGCAAUCCCCGGGAAAGCGCAGCAGAAAACAACCGCCGCACCUUCCGUUUUGCGGAAGGUGCGGUAAGGGUGAAAAGGCAGUGUAAGAGACUACCGCAGCUCUGGCAACAGAGACGGCAUAUGCAAGCCCCAUCCGAAGCAAGGCCAAAACGAAGCGAUACGGCUGCCCGCCGUGCUUCAGGUAGGCCGCUCGAUUCUUCCGGCAACGGAAGAGCCAGAUAGAUGACCGCACGCGACAGAACCCGGCUUAUCGUCCCGCCU
rnacentral:RNase_P_RNA from 1 species